GGGGUAACAGGUGUAGCAAUACAUGCUGACGACCGGCGCACGGGUGAGUAACGCGUAUGCAACUUACCUCUUACUGGGGAAUAGCCCAAGGGAACUCGGAUUAAUACCCCAUAAUAUCCUGAAUUCGCAUGUUUUCAGGAUUAAAACUCCGGCGGUAAGAGAUGGGCAUGCGUGCCAUUAGUUAGUUGGUGAGGUAACGGCUCACCAAGACAGCGAUGGCUAGGGGGCCUGAGAGGGUAAUCCCCCACACUGGUACUGAGACACGGACCAGACUCCUACGGGAGGCAGCAGUGAGGAAUAUUGGGCAAUGGACGCAAGUCUGACCCAGCCAUGCCGCGUGCAGGAUGAAGGCCCUACGGGUUGUAAACUGCUUUUCUACGGGAAGAAAUGUUCCGACGUGUCGGGAUUCGACGGUACCGUAGGAAUAAGCAUCGGCUAACUCCGUGCCAGCAGCCGCGGUAAUACGGAGGAUGCAAGCGUUAUCCGGAUUUAUUGGGUUUAAAGGGUGCGUAGGCGGAAUAAUAAGUCAGUGGUGAAAUCUUGCGGCUCAACCGUAAAAUUGCCUCUGAUACUGUUAUUCUUGAGUGCAGUUGAGGUAGGCGGAAUGUGUAAUGUAGCGGUGAAAUGCAUAGAUAUUACACAGAACACCAAUUGCGAAGGCAGCUUACUAAACUGUUACUGACGCUGAGGCACGAAAGCGUGGGGAGCAAACAGGAUUAGAUACCCUGGUAGUCCACGCUGUAAACGAUGAUCACUCGCUAUUGGCGAUAAACAGUCAGCGGCUAAGUAAAAGCAUUAAGU
rnacentral:rRNA from 1 species